rnacentral:rRNA from 1 species
UACGUAGGGGGCAAGCGUUGUCCGGAAUCAUUGGGCGUAAAGAGCGCGUAGGCGGUCCGAUAAGUCGGCUGUGAAAGUCAGAGGCUCAACCUCUGAAAGCCGGCCGAUACUGUCGGACUAGAGUCCGGAAGAGGCGAGUGGAAUUCCCGGUGUAGCGGUGAAAUGCGCAGAUAUCGGGAGGAACACCAAUGGCGAAGGCAGCUCGCUGGGACGUGACUGACGCUGAGGCGCGAAAGCGUGGGGAGCAAACAGG